CAAACAACAAAUCGUUUCCAUACUAACAGACUACUGUAAUAAUAAAGGAAACACAUAUGAGAAGAAGCGCAAUAGGGAUGUCAUUUAUUCCUCAGAAAACAUAGCGAACAUUUAUUCAAUCCUGAGAUGGUCUAGAGGGAAGAGUGUCUGCAAGAAAAACACCAAAUUAAAAGAGAAUCCGACAUUGUAUUCAGUAAUAAAAAUAAUCUGUGUAUACAUUCGUAUGAACAGUAAUUUUACCUAUUUAUGGCAGAAAAUCAUCAACCUGGCAUCCUUACACUACUUUUUUGGGUUCGACGAUAGCCUGUUGUAAAUCAUUGCUGACAACUGUGGGAUUCACUACCAAGACAAUGUGCUUCCUAUUGCUUGAGCGAGCCCAACCAUACAAAACCAUGAGCAACCAAUGAACCUUUCUUGCAAAAACAGAUGAACCUUCCUAUGCUAAAAUAGAUCAAUUAAAAGCGUGAUAGUAAUAAGUCAACAUUUUUUAAUGUAAGGAAUCGAUUCAUCAAACCUCCUUCAGUCCUGCAAACAUCCGCCACAAAAUCACAACACUUACCUUUGAAGAGACCACUCAUAGCAGCAACCUCAUUAGAACCAAUCAAAUCUGCUUUUUGUGACCUAUGGAGAUAAAUUUCGCUCCAUGGAGGAUCAUAUCAAAGGGUAACAUAAUCUGAAGAAUCGUAUAAAUACCUAUCAGCAGUCCAGCUCCGAUCCUCUUGAAUGUUGUUCUGUCGCAUGGAAACAAUGUCGUAGAGCACAUUUGUUUUACUGAAUUGAAUCGCAUUGAGACCUACCAAAAAGGAACCAACUAAAUGAGAGAUGCACGUAGCCAUGAUGCAUAGAUCAUGAUAAUAAAGAAGGCCUAUGUCUGAUAAUAUCAGCUAUAUGCAUAAAUCAACAGUAGAUGUACACUUUUGCAGUUUUUCUUGACUGUAUUCUGUACAUCACCAAGCAUAGCACUCCACGCAGGGUCCCAAACAACCAACGCACAUGCCUGGGGCUGGCCACGCUCCUUGCACACAUCAACAACGUCUACAUAUGUCUUUAGCAAAGCUGCUGAUGAAACAUGCCCUUUUUAGAAAGACAACACUGCUUUGCACCACGAACAGAGGCAUCCUAACAUAGGAAGAUGCAAACUUGUAUAAAGACCUUGCUUUCUUCCCAAUAAACAACAAAAUGGGAAAACACCCAUCUAUAAAAACAGGUCUAUUAAAUCAAUAGAAAUUACUUGCUGAAAACCCCUAAAACAACUACACUCUAUGUUGUCAGAAUGUCAUCUAUCUGAAGCCAAAGAAUGAGCUGGACAGACCAUGGUAAACAAGGCAUGAAAUAAACACAACCCACUUUCUAAUAGCAAAAAACUAACUUUUUCACGGUUCAAAUUAGGAAAAUCAAAUCAAAUUGAAGCCAUAAUAAUCAACGGUAUCUCAUAAUCCUUUUUUUGCUGAAAAAUCCUAAAAGGACCAAAUCACGCAUCUGAAUUGAAUGGUAGGAUGAAUGGACUCACAAACUAAUACUGACCAGCAUCCCUUGUGCAGUGCGCAUAGCGACCGCCAUGUAUCCCCACGCACCGGAGUCAUUUACCUGUACAACAGCAACGCUAAAAAAGAACUACAGAAAUCACAAACCACCAAGCCGACAGAAGAAGAAGGACGACGGAAACGCAAACCAACCAUCAGACGCACCCCAGAACAUCCCUCGCAAGAAAUUGAUGCAGAGGAAGAAGAAACCGGCAACAGCAGACCCGCCGCCCACCCCUGGCGAAGAGGCAGGCAUCUGACCCCCUCCCUCCAAAGAGGCAGGCACCGAACACGGAGCCGAAGACCACCAAACACCCCGCUCACCAAACACACCACCGCCGCCAAGUCCAAAGGAUAAAAGGAAGGACGACGACCCUCGUAGCAGUAAAAGGAAAAACGCCACCUACACGCGGGCGCGUACACAAGCGCCACGAAUAUAUACAAGCCAACCGA
rnacentral:lncRNA from 1 species